GCCGGGAUGGCGGAACUGGCAGACGCGCAUGGUUGAGGGCCAUGUGGGGGCGACCCUGUAGGAGUUCAAGUCUCCUUCCCGGCACCA
rnacentral:tRNA from 1 species